rnacentral:rRNA from 1 species
CCUACGGGAGGCAGCAGUGGGGAAUAUUGGGCAAUGGGCACAAGCCUUACCCAGCAAUACCGCGUGAGUGAAGAAGGUCUUCGGAUUGUAAAGCUCUUUGAUCAGGGACGAACAGAUGACGGUACCUGAAGAACAAGCCCCGGCUAACUACGUCCCAGCAGCCGCGGUAAAACGUAGGGGGCGAGCGUUGGUCGGAAGGGAUGGGCGUAAAGGGUGCGUAGGGGGGAUGAUAAGUUAGAAGUGAAAUACCCAGGGCUUAACUCGUGUGCUGCAUCUAAGACUGUUGGGCUUGAGUGCAGGAGAGGGUAAUGGAAUUCCUAGUGUAGCGGUGGAAUGCGUAGAUAUUAGGAGGAACACCAGAGGCGAAGGCGAUUAACUGGACCGUAACUGACGCUGAGGCACGAAAGUGUGGGUAGCAAACAGGAUUAGAUACCCUAGUAGUC